GUCCCUUUCGUCUAGUGGUCCAGGACACUGCCUUUUCAUGGCAGCUACACGGGUUCGAAUCCCGUAAGGGAUA
rnacentral:tRNA from 1 species